rnacentral:rRNA from 1 species
CGGGGGGAGCAAGCGUUGUUCGGAUUUACUGGGCGUAAAGGGCGCAUAGGCGGCGCAACAAGUCACUUGUGAAAUCUCCGGGCUUAACCCGGAGCGGCCAAGUGAUACUGUCGUGCUAGAGUGCGGAAGGGGCUACUGGAAUUCUCGGUGUAGCGAUGAAAUGCGUAGAUAUCGAGAGGAACACCUGCGGCGAAGGCGGGUAGCUGGGCCGACACUGACGCUGAGGCGCGAAAGCCAGGGGAGCGAACGGGAUUAGAUACCCCGGUAGUCCUGGCCUUAAACGAUGGAUACUUGGUGUCCGGGGUUACAUAGUCCCCGGGUGCCGGCGCUAACGCAUUAAGUAUCCCGCCUGGGGAGUACGGUCGCAAGACUG